AGCGAACGCUGGCGGCAGGCUUAACACAUGCAAGUCGAACGCCAUCUUCGGAUGGAGUGGCAGACGGGUGAGUAACGCGUGGGAACGUACCCUUUGGUUCGGAAUAUUCUCGGGAAACUGGGAGCAAUACCGGAUAAGCCCUACGGGGGAAAGAUUUAUCGCCAAAAGGAGCGGCCCCGCGUCAGAUUAGGUAGUUGGUGGGGUAAAAGGCCUACCAAGCCUACGAUCUGUAGCUGGUCUGAGAGGAUGAUCAGCCACACUGGGACUGAGACACGGCCCAGACUCCUACGGGAGGCAGCAGUGGGGAAUCUUGGACAAUGGGCGCAAG
rnacentral:rRNA from 1 species